rnacentral:tRNA from 1 species
GGCUCGUUGGUCAAAUGGUAGGAUUCUCACUCCGGGUGUGAGAGGUUCGGGUUUAAAUCCCAUAACGAGCCC